CAGAGAUUAGUUUAAAAAGAAUAUUAAUUUUGGAAAUUAAAGAUAAAAUUAUUUUAUCUCUGA
rnacentral:tRNA from 1 species